AGUCAAACGAGUACUAAGUAACGAGUAUUAGUGACGAACGGGUGCGUAACAGUAGACAUUGAAUGGAUACGCUGAGGACAAAAAAUAACGAACCGGAUGGCUAGAAAUUUUAAACCUCAAUAGGAUUUCUACUGCAAUUUUACAUCUCCUAUUAUUAUUGCGUUACAAUCUAAAAAUUAAUUGUGUAUACGUUUAGUUUACGAAGAUCAGGUUGUUGGUGAGGGAUUGGCUUACCAAGCCGGAGACCUUUAGCUAGUUUGAAAAAAUGUGUAGCCACAUCGGGACUGUAACAAGGCCCGAAUUCCUUAGGGAGGCAGCAGUGGGGAAUACUGGACAAUGAGCUAACGCUUGAUCCGGCAAUGUUAAACGAAUGAACUGAAAGUAAUGAGCUGUAAAAUUCAUCCAGCUAAUUUUAAUAUAUUGAAUGAAUUAGUAAAGCCCCGACUAACUUCGUGCCAGCAGUCGCGGUAAUACGGGGGGGGCAAGUGUUACUCAUCAUGACUAGGCGUAAAGGGUGCUAAGAUCGCUAAAGUUUGUCCCGGCAAAAAUAUCAAUUGAACUAUUGUUUUCUGCUGGUUAAACAAUUUAGCUAGAGUCAAUUGGAAAAUAGAAUUACUAGUUUUUAAGGGGUAGAAUCCAACAAGAAGAUUAGGAGGAACGAAGGCAAAAGCAACUAUUUAUAAUUUACUGACAUUUAAGUACUAAAGCGUGGGGAGCAAACAGGAUUAGAUACCCUGGUAGUCCACGCCCUGACC
rnacentral:rRNA from 1 species